UCUAGAUCAGAUUUCACCUGUCAUUUGAAUCAUCCUACAUGAUGUCCAGUUGCUACUGUAUAUAAGUGAUUAAAAGAAACAGGGGAAAAGGGGGGAAAAGGUAGAUAAAUUAACAUCAAAGCACAUACAAAGGGCUUCUGUUUAAACAAGUUCACUAACCCAUCCUCCAUUCUCAGAAAGGUUGGAAAAGGAAGGAUGGUUUUGGGUCCAACAGUAUAAAAUUGUUGAUGC
rnacentral:misc_RNA from 1 species